rfam:Triticum aestivum genome assembly, contig: Triticum_aestivum_CS42_TGACv1_scaffold_404222_5BL
UUCAUAUUCCCUCCGUUUGGAAAUACUUGUCAUUGAAAUGGAUGUAUCUAGAUGUAUUUUAGUUCUAGAUACAUCCAUUUUCAUCCAUUUUGAUGACAAGUAAUUCCGGACGGAGGGAGUACUUA